GGAGAGAUGGCUCAGUGGUUAAGAGCACUGACUGCUCAUUCAGAGGUCCUGAGUUCAAUUCCCAGCCACCACA
rfam:Rattus norvegicus chromosome 5, whole genome shotgun sequence.